rnacentral:rRNA from 1 species
GACGAACGCUGGCGGCGUGCUUAACACAUGCAAGUCGAACGGAAAGGCCUUUUCGGAGGUACUCGAGUGGCGAACGGGUGAGUAACACGUGGGUGAUCUGCCCUGCACUCUGGGAUAAGCCUGGGAAACUGGGUCUAAUACCGGAUAGGACCGCACUUUAGUGUGUGUGGUGGAAAGUUUUUUCGGUGUAGGAUGAGCCCGCGGCCUAUCAGCUUGUUGGUGGGGUAAUGGCCUACCAAGGCGGCGACGGGUAGCCGGACUGAGAGGUUGGUCGGCCACAUUGGGACUGAGAUACAGCCCAGACGCCUACGGGAGGCAGCAGUGGGGAAUAUUGCACAAGGGGCGCAAGCCUGAUGCAGCGACGCCGCGUGGGGGAUGACGGCCUUCGGGUUGUAAACUCCUUUCGCCAGGGACGAAGCGUUUUGUGACGGUACCUGGAGAAGAAGCACCGGCUAACUACGUG